rnacentral:rRNA from 1 species
AUCUAGCCAUGGGCAGGUUGAAGGUUGGGUAACACUAACUGGAGGACCGAACCGACUAAUGUUGAAAAAUUAGCGGAUGACUUGUGGCUGGGGGUGAAAGGCCAAUCAAACCGGGAGAUAGCUGGUUCUCCCCGAAAGCUAUUUAGGUAGCGCCUCGUGAACUCAUCUUCGGGGGUAGAGCACUGUUUCGGCUAGGGGGUCAUCCCGACUUACCAAACCGAUGCAAACUACGAAUACCGAAGAAUGUUAUC